UACGUAGGGGGCAAGCGUUGUCCGGAUUUAUUGGGCGUAAAGAGCGUGUAGGCGGCCAGGUAGGUCGGCUGUGAAAACUCGAGGCUCAACCUCGAGAUGUCGGCCGAAACCAUCUGGCUAGAGUCCGGAAGAGGAGAGUGGAAUUCCACGUGUAGCAGUGAAAUGCGUAGAGAUGUGGAGGAACACCGAUGGCGAAGGCAGCCCCCUGGGUUAACACUGACGCUCAGGCACGAAAGCGUGGGGAGCAAACAGG
rnacentral:rRNA from 1 species